AUACAGAGCUCAAAACUAUGGGCUUUUACGUUGAAGGCGCCUCAUCCUUUUCCGGUGUGUCUUAGGUCGCUUUGACUUGACUGUGUAAAGAGGGUGUCCAUGAUGACAACUUUAAAAUACACAUUGUGACCAGGAGGUCUAACGCUACCUGCUGGAUUCACUUCAGAAAAAAUGUUUGUGAGCUGCUGUCGCGUCGAGCGUCUUCUCCGUGUAGGAGCAGCUUAGUGAACGUCAGCUAGCUAUCCAGCUAGCAUGAACUCGAUCGGUCGAAGCUUUUGUUUACAUCCAGUCCAGAUGAUGACGGGCCUGGAGAGGCGUGUUAGCUAACGCCGCUACCCGAGCUGCUUCCAGGAAAGGUGUCAUCCGCCAGCUCGCUCUGUCAGGACCGGGGAGGUCCAUCCAAACCGCCGCCACCUAAGGGUAAUGGAAGUGUCUUCUCAGGAUCCACCGUUCAUGGCUAUGGAUCUGUCAAAGAGCUACAACCCCCUGACCCGCAGCCAUCCUGAAGCCAUGGACCUGGCCAAGAAGCCGGAGUGGUACCACAGACGCCCCGCUGGCUGCAGCACAGACAUCACCUCCACCUACAGAUCGCGAGCCUCAUCCUCCUACAGCUCGCUGUCUUCACAGCCGGGUGCACCUGUCCACUGCAGGGACAUGGAGCAGGGUCCUGAGUCUUUGGGGGGCUACAUGAAUUCAGCGCUCAGCCCGGGACUGGACCUGUAUCAUGACAGAGUUCACAGCAACCUGUGGCAUGCUGGUUUCUAUGGGACUGAUCAAAGCGGCAUACCAGUUCCUGAAAGCAGCGGUGGAGAGGAAAGCGACAGCGGCUCUGACGUCAUCUUCCUCGUUUCCUCAGCGAAGGAGCCACUUUUGUGUGGUUCUUUCAUCCAGGACAACGUGAGGCACAUCGUGGAGCCUCUUUCCCCCACUGUGUCCUCGCUGGAUGAAGCCAGAGACUGCUACCUUCUACCUCAGCCCAUGAGCUCACCCAGUCCUGAUAGCUCGUACUCUGAAGACUCCUCAGAAAGCUCAGUGGACAUCCCCGUUCACCACACCAGGCCUGUCGUCCUCCUGUCAGACCUCAGCGUCGUUUACGGCAAUCAAGCCGAAUCUGGCGUAGAUAUUUCAAGCGACGACAGCGACGUCAUUGAGGUUUCCGUCACUAACGGUGAGAAGAAAAGCCGCUGCCGGGAGAAAACUCCCCCUCGGAGCGAAAGCCAAAAAGCUUCACCUAGAGAAGUGCGACGCAGUAACAGAUUUAAAAAGUCUGUGUCAGAAACACCAACGUUCACCAGCAGCGCGGCGCGGCGCAGCUUGAAGCGACAAGUCAAACAUGACGCGGUGGGUAUCUAUAACGAAAGCUUUGAGUCUGAUGACUUGAUGGAAUAUGCCCUGAGGCUGUCCAGCUCAGAGGAAUCAAACUUGCAGCCAGAUCCAUUACAAAGAACGAGCAGCAACUCGGAGGAGUCAGAUGUCGACGUUCUGACAGCUGGGAAGUCUCCGACGAGGGAGCAGGAGUCUCGCCGCAAAGCUUCACGCGCAGACCCCAUCAGUUACAAACAAAAGCCUUUGUCUGUUGCUAGAAGUAAAAACUUGAGAAAAAGCAAGCAAAAGCUGAGCUGCAGCAUCUCGCCGCCACCGCAUCAGACAGCCUCGGCCUCCAAAAGUACAGCAGGAAAAAAAGCUACAAGACGGAAAAGAAAACAAUGCCCAAAGACUGGAACUUCGGCUCUGUUUUCUCCCUCAGAGCCCGAGAUCAAGCUCAGACAUUUACUCAUGAAAGAGAAAAAGGACAAGAAGUCGGACAGUUUCUGCCCGUUCGUCCACAUGGAGAAGAGGAUGUGCAGGGUGGUGAACUAUCAAGAGGACGAGGCGGUGGUUCGUAGCAGCGGAGGACGGCAGCAGCAGACGUCCUCCAGGAAUCUGACUGGGUUUGUUCCCAGCACAUCCUGCUUCCAGCUGGGUCGGCCCAGCUCGGACAGCAGGUGUCAGACCACCCUGCUGUGCUGCCUGUGUGGGCAGAUGGCCAACCUCAUGGGCCUCGGGGACCUUCACGGCCCGUACUAUCCCAUCGCCUCACCUGUGGACAGUCAGACCUGCAGGACCAAGCAGGAGGAGGAGUCACACAAACUCUCUAACGGCCAUUUGGGAAAUUCCUCAAGCGACAACUGCAAUGCUGAUAAAGGUUUGCUCAAGGGCAACGACCUUUCUCCCACAAGGGUGCCUCUUCACCUGGAUGAGUGCUGGAUCCACGAGGACUGCGGCAUCUGGUCUGCUGGAGUCUUCCUAGUCCGAGGAAAGCUGUACGGGUUGGAGGAGGCGGUCCAACUCGCACAGGAAACGGUUUGUUCAACCUGCCAACAAACUGGUGCAAUAAUGGGGUGUUUCCAGAAGGGAUGCUCCAGAAAUUAUCACUACACAUGUGCCAUUCAGUCAGGCUGCGUCCUCAACGAAGAGAACUUCUCCAUGAGAUGUCCAGAGCAUAAGAACAAACCCUUCACAUCUGCAACUAGACAACACAAGAGAUGACACCGAAGAUAUGUGGGGGCCAUGGAGAACGCUCCUCAGAUCUCCUCAGGGUGCGACGAGAGCUGCGUGACUUCACCUCAACUUUUUCGUAACAAUAAUUAACGAGUGUAAUCGAGCAGAAGGCAGACCUUCUGUCCCCCAACCUGAACUGCAUGGGGCAGCAGGCAACAGUGGAAAGGAAAACCUCCCAGCAGAACCAGAACCCGUCUCAGGGAAGAAGCCCAUCUCGACCGGUCGGAGGUGGAGAGGACAGGAAAGAUGGAUCAACAAGCACCACAACUUUGAGUUGAGAGAGAAGAGAACUACAAGUUAAUGAUGCAAAUACUGUCAAAAAUUUAUACAUGGAAAAUAAAUAACAGACAGAGAUGCUCAGUGCAUCAUGGGUUGUCCCCUGAGCAGUCUAAGCCUAUGGCAGCAUAAAGAAUGGCUAACCUCCCCUAAUUAUAAGAUUUAUCGAAAAGGUUUUUAAUGUAGAAAAGGUGUCUGCCUCCCGAACCCAAAUUGGGAACUGGUUCCAUAAGAGAGGGGUCUGUUACAUAUGUAUAAAAACCUCAGUGACCAUGAGUGAGUCAUCCUCUGUGGAACAAAAGUAUAUCUGCACACACUAAUCAAGUUUGCUUCUGUGAUAAAAAGGAAAAGAAAUAAAAUGAAGCAGAAUUGAAAUUUUAUUCUGAUGGGAAUUACAUUUUUAUCUAUAAAAUCUAACGUAUUGCACACAAAAUGUUCAUUUACCAGCCUAUAUUGUGGUGGCCUGGAUGAAUUUUAGCAAUCUGUUUUGUUCUGUUUUCUUUAUCUUUGAAAGUUUAAAGGAAAAAUUUUGACUUUUUUUUUAAUUUGUUGGACCAGUCGAUCGCAAAACAAACUUACCAAUUUUCUGUGUUUUCAGAGAUUUUGCUCAAACAAUCUGUUUUAUUAUCAUGGUUUUAAUGGGGGUGGAGUGGGGCUGCGAGGGGCCAGGGCCACCCUUUUAAUUUCAUUGACCACCCCUGUGAUCGGUAGCUUGCUAAGGUUAUUAACAUGGGAACUAAAGUGUCUUCUUUAUCUUUUAUUAUUAUUAUUAUUAUUAAUAUUAUUAUUAUUUCAGUUGUUUUACUUGCAUCCUUUCAUGAUGUUUUUGGAUCUGUGAGGGUUAGUUCAGGUUCCUCUUUUGCAUUGCUAUGUAAAUAAAGUUGAGUAGAGUAUUGAAAUGAAUGUGUUUCUUAAUUUAAUGAGAGAAGGUGACAACUAAUCCUAUAGAUGCAUAUAGAUGCAUAUAGCAUAGAGCCAAUGCUAUAUGCAUGACUAACCAGUGUGUAAACUACGGUAAGAGGGUCAUUGGGUUUGAGGGUUUAUUAGGUAUACUUCUGUUAGCCUUAAAAAAAA